UCCCUCCUCACCUGCUGCUCCCACCAACUGUGAUGGAGCCCAGGAUAAAUCUUCUGCUUCUCCAAAUCUCAAACUAUCCUGAUGGACAACAGGGAAGGAUCUCAUCUUCCUCAGGAAUGACUUUGCAUUGCUAUUGCUACUUUACCUUUUUCCCGGAUUGAUGGGGUCCUAAAGGCAGAGCAUUCCCUUUUGUAUCCCACACAGAACCAGGAGAAGAUACCUGUCCCCAGGUCCCAUUCCUGAAGCCACCAAAGCCACAAAUGGGUGCAUUUAAUUUCAGCUGGGUGUUGGAUUCACCAAAUGAGAAAGGGCUGAACGCUGACUGGACCAGAGUGAAGAACAGCCUGGCAAGGAAUAAAACUGUUGGAUUAACAUGUGCCGUGUGUGCUGCAAACACAAAUUGCUCCUUCAGAACUCACACCAGACAGCAAGUUACCCUUUAAUCCUCCAGUAUAUCUAUGCACAAAAGUUAUCAAAUACUUUCUGAAUUUUAUAGGGCAAGUAAUCACAACACAGCUCUGGGAAAGAAAGGUGUGCAUCAGUCUGAUCCUAGCAGAUAAUCAGUGUGUGAGUGAAAAGAGGACAUAGAACAAAGAUGCAAAAUGCAAGGCUACAAAAAAGAAGCCAACACCUACAUUGACAGACACCUGGCAGUUGUUUCCUGAACAGGAAGCCACAACCUUUUUUUAUUUUUCUGAACUCAAGGUCUUGUCCUGCACUUGGGAAUUUAGUGCAAUAGGCUUCAGAAGCACCAAUCUUGUGCUGCUGCCAUAUCCUACCCUCCACAGAGAGGAGCAAAUCUGCAGUGUUCCUCACCUGGCACCUCACACUGCUCCUCUGUGUGACUUCACCUCGUGCAGGAAGUCCAAACACUUAAUCGGGCGCAUCAAAAGAAAGAAAACAACCUCCAAAGCAAGCUCUCAACUCUGGAAAUCACUUUUCCCUGGGUUAGUUCAACAGCACAUGCACUGCUGACCCCAGGGUGUGCACAAAGCUGAGCUGUUUUUGUAACCUUUCCAUGGACAGGAACGUGCUUGGCUUCAAAUCCUGCACUGCCAUCGAAUGCAGCCAGCUCCACAAUGAGCAUUUUUUGAUUUUUGAGAUUCCCCUACCCUGGAAAAGUUUAUGAGGAAAUGAGGAAACUGAAUCAAAGCCUCACUAUGCAAGGGAAUUUAAAGCAGAACAGGCAAAACCAGUCCCUGUUUCAACACAAGCUCCCACUUAUGUUGGCAUAAAAUUAAUUUAGAGCUGUAAAGUUGCUGGAGGUUCUUCACUUUCUGUUAUAGUGGAACUUGGACUUAAUCAUGACAAGCUUUGACUAAAAAGUUCAGAAUUUUAGAUUGGGAAAACAUUCUGUUGUCAUUAUUUUUAUUAUUAAACCGAAGCCUUGCAUGCACCAGGGAAUUUACUAAAACAGAUUUUCUAAACUAAAAUAACCAUAUCAGUCAGCUCCUCUUUAGAGGAGGGUGGAAGGAAGCCUUGGGAAAAACAGGGAGUAAUAUCAGCUCUCAAACCUCCCAGCUCUGUGUAACCUUGGAGUAGCUGAGCUUCUGUUUUUGACUUGAAGGGAAUAUUUUGAGACUGGCCUUGCUGUGCUUUGUGACCAGCUGGUUCCUUCUCCUUCUGCUCCUUAAAAGCUUUUCCAAGGAUUUGUCUGGGAGGAGCUUUGUCUGCUAUCAGCAUCUGUGGUUUUUGGUUUACUGUCAGAUAUUAUUCAAAACUAUAAAUGCUGUAGAGGUGUCCAAGUUCCCCAAAUAUACCGAUUUAUAUUCUUGCAAAUGCACUAUUGCCUAUAUGACAAAAACUGCAUAAAAGCCAUUUCUCACAAAGAUAAAAACCUCUUUUAAUUAACACAAAAUGAUUAGCACAGGGGUGAAUUUUCUGUAGAAGUUGAAUCUGUCAAAGUUUUUUCCAGGUAAUGUCAGAGAUCUGAACAAUUCCCCUGAUGUCUUGGAAAACUUUUCUGAUUCUGUGCUCUUCACCAAAUAUCAAAAAUUAAACACCUUACAUUAAAAUCAAGUGUACUGCAAAAAGGAACCUGACUUUAAUUAAUGAUUUCCACAAAAAUGCCAGUUAAAGUUCUGUGGUUUGAUUGAUUUGUACUUUAAUGUAAUAUUCACAUUUUUUUCUCCAUGUACCUAUAUUUAAUUACAUUGCAGCUUCAUCACCAAAGUUGUAAUUACAAUAAAUUUGUAAUAAAUUUGGUCUUACAGGGCUUUAUCAAGAGAUUUAAUUGAUAAUAACUUUGCAUCUUCUGGAGUGUUAUAUUUCAGCAGUUCAGGCUCUAGUCCUGCACUAACAGCCGUGUUGGCAGAGGAAUAAAUCAAUUAUCCUCACAUCCAGAUCUGAUUGCAAGAUCACAGGUAUCAAUUCUUCAAUACAAACUUCCCUUUCAACUCUCAAGUAAAAUCAAGACUAAAUAAAACACAGCUGCUGAAAUUAAAUAUGUGGAGGUCAGACUGUAAUUUAGCAAGAUAUUUAAUUACACUUUAGGUCACUUAAGAAGUUUGCCAUUUUUCCUCAGGACCUGUGCUGUUAUUUAACAAAUAUUUUAGAUUUUUCAUAUUGUUCUCCAUGUUCUUUGUUCUAUUAAUUUUACUGGUUUUGGUACAGAAAUGUUCAAAGGGAUUGAGACUCUGCAAGUAUUUUUUAUUUAGAACAGGGCAGUGUUUAUUUGUUUACAACUUCACAGGUAUCACAAGGUAUUUCAACAUGGGAGGGAGUAGAUUUAGUCUGAAGGUGCCCAAUUCACACUAAAUAAUAUGGUCAGUAAAUAAAACUAUUUUUCCUUCUCUGGGAAGAAAGUUCACAUUACAAUUUAGAUUUUUUUUUUAGGAUGUGGAUGAAUUUUCCCAAGACAUGCAAAAAGUGCAUUUCCAGAGUGUAUCUAAGAAAGAGCAAAUUUUGAUUCUACAAUAAUCAUGAGAAUUCUGUAAAUUCACAUUCAGUAAGACAGCACCAGAAAGAUAAACUGGAUAUAAAUGGGUGUUGUAUCCCGUGGGAUUUUCUAACCAAAAAUUAACAAAACUGCUUUGUUUCCUUGGAAUUGCUGUCCCUGGAACAGCCUCCAAGGUGAAAGCCUGUCUUACCUUUGAACUGCUUGGAAAAUCCUCUCCUUAAGGACAUUUCCCUGCUUUUGCCCUGUUUGUUUUAGGUGAGAUCCUUGGGCAGUUCACCCAGAGGAAGGGCUCAGAGCCUCUCCCAGGUUUUGGAGCAUCUUUUACCCUGUUUGUUUUAGGUGAGAUCCUUGGGCAGUUCACCCAGAGGAGGGGCUCAGAGCACCCAAAUCCAUGGAGGGAGCAGCCAGGAGCCACUCCCGGGAUUCCCAGCUGCUCCUGCCACGGCUGGGGCAGCACCUGGGCAGGUAAAGCAGGAACAGGGAGGCUUUUCCACCUUGGGAAUCUCCAACUGUGAGUAUGGGAUUGUUCCAUUGACUAAAAACCUGAAAACAUUUGUCAACUUCAGGAGUAAAGGGAAAAAUAUAUUUCUGAAAGUGUUCCUCGUUAUUUUGUUUUGCUGAAUCUUCCUCCUUUGAAGUCAGUACUUCAGAACUAAAAUUAAGAUUGUGAUAACCUUAUUAUUGUCAUUUUUAUGUUUAUUUGAAGGCAAUUUUCCAUUUCUCCUGCUGGAUCUGUUGCAGAGCAACAGAGAUGGAAAAUCCUGGUGGAAAGAGCAUCCAGAGUCGUGGUGACCCCACCAAAAAAAGGCAGCCAUGAAACCCAGCACUCCAUCUGCUCCCUUGGGCUAAUGGGAUCAGAUUGUCCCCCUUGGAUUGAUGCUGGAGCUGCUGCCUCAAAAAAAUCACCAGGCACACAGGGGAUCUGUCAGAGAGGCAGGGAGAGGUAGUUUGGGGGUUUUCUGCAGAAA